GAUGAACGCUGGCGGCGUGCCUAAUACAUGCAAGUCGAACGGGCUGUAGCAAUACAGCCAGUGGCAAACGGGUGAGUAACACGUUGGUAACCUGCCCUUUGGAUUGGAAUACCGGGGAGAAAUCUCCGCUAAUGCCGGAUAUGUGCCGAGGUCGAUGGACUUCGGGACGAAAGGAUGCCGUAAGGCAUCGCCAGAGGAUGGGCCUGCGGCGCAUCAGCUUGUUGGCGGGAUAAAGGCCCACCAAGGCGAGGAUGCGUAGCCGGACUGAGAGGUCGGCCGGCCACAUUGGAACUGAGACACGGUCCAGACUCCUACGGGAGGCAGCAGUAGGGAGUAUUUGGCAAUGGGGGAAACCCUGACCGAGCAACGCCGCGUGGAUGAUGGAGGCCUUCGGGUUGUAAAAUCCUGUGGAGAGCUACCAAUGGCGAGCGUAGGCAAUGACGUUCGUUUGAGGAGCUUUCUAGAAAGCAACUGCUAACUACGUG
rnacentral:rRNA from 1 species